AAUCAUAAAUCGGAGGGCUUUUGUGCCGAGGGUGUGUUGCGGCGGAAUGCGGUUUGUGUGAGUAUCAAUGCAUGAAAUAGCAUUUCAAGCUGAUAAACGCCGCGCACAGCGGUCAGUCCGUGCAGAUCGCUCUUUCUUUUUCAUGAAGCCAUAUUGUUUGCGAUAACAUUUGCCAGAAGAAUUUAUUCUGUUUUUUAUCACCAGACAGCGUUGAGACUUUGAGGUGGAGUGUCCCAACGCCGCUGUAAUAUUCACCCCUGCCUGUCGUCUUCGGAUUAUUGUCUUUUCAGAUUAGACUAUGUCAAAUUGGCCACAUUAUGAGCUGUCACGCAGUCACUUAACUCGGCCAUUCAAUUGAUUUCUUGCCACGUCUCCCAUGUGGUUGUUAAAAUCAAUUAACUAUAAGUAACUGGGCAACGCAACGCGUUUGUAAAUGAGCUGGUAUUGAUAUUUUCAUCUUUCUCCAUUAAAAGCAAAGUAUUGACUCAAAAGGUUUAUGUUAUGUGUCAUGUUGUCUCUUUGUCUACACUAUUACUGGGAACAUAUGAAGCACGGAGCCGCAGCUGAUGAAGGCCCCAACGUGAUGCACGACACCAACAGUAACACUGUUUGUGUCAGGCCCGAGCAAACAUCACAUUCAUAACACCGGGACAGCUUCUGCGAGAAGGAACUCAUCGCUUAAGCGCACGCUCGUAGCCGCUGAUGAGGGGUCUCCGAUGGGCGGGGCGCCAGUCCCAGUCGGCACGGCGACCAGCCGGCCCUCCCCGCUCUUGUCUUCGCAGCACCUGUGGUGCACCCGUGGGCCUAUUGUGUGCAGGUAGAAGCAAGCAGUGACUCGCCCCCGCUGUCCGUCAUCC
ensembl:lncRNA